rnacentral:misc_RNA from 1 species
UGAUGUCAUACACGUGAUAUGGUGUAAUUAAUCAUCGUGUAUUGUGCAACGUCAGUUCCUUCUCGUACGUGGAGAAACGUACACUGUUGCAGUCGGCUUUUCCCACGCCUCUCGCCCUUCAUCCGAUAUACAUGAGUAUUAAACAAUAUCAAGAAUUUGAAACAAUACAAGUCCCUCCAAAAUACAAAAUAUCUAGUAGAUUAACGACGUUGCGGUCGACACAACUAGUGAACCGCGACUGACUUCGCUGGCGCAGUCUUAUAAUUAAAUAAAUAAAUAUAUAUAUCAUAUAACAUACACACACGGUUCACUGUUCCUAUGCCUAUCGCAGUCCACUGCUGGACACAGGCCUCCCCGAGUUCGCGCCACACAUCCUGGUCUUCCGCAAUCCUCAUCCAGCCUACACCGGCAAUCUUCAAUCAAGAUUUGAUAAAUAUACAUAGAAAUAAUAAUAAUAAUAAUAAUAAUACUCUUUAUUGUACACCAUUAAAAGAAACAACAGAGAAAAAAAAAACAUAAAACGAAAGAUGUACAAAG